ensembl:lincRNA Gm15706 predicted gene 15706
GCGGCCGCCCGCCCGGCUGCUGCUCCUCCGGGCGCGCGCGGCGCCGCCGGGGGCGGACCCCAGCCGCUGGCCUCGCGGUCCCUUGGCCGGACUGUCCGAAGCCUGCAGGCUCCCAACCCGGACCUCCUCUUUUUGUUUUGAGACAGGGUCUCUCUGUGUAGACCAGGCUGGCCUUCUGCCCGGAUACCACAAGGAGAGCCGCUUUGUAGGAAGUGCCCUUGCGCCACAGGACAGAUCCGAGGAGACUUCUCAGGACGCCAGAUGAAGGAAGAAAUUUACGGAAAGGAAGAAAUGGCGGCCACAUUCACACUGUUAAGCUGAAGGAAAGAUACUAACUCAGUAUCUCAGUCUGCCUUGAGCUCCCGCGUGGCUCACAGUUCAAGAACAUAAAGGCAAAAUUCUAAAAUUCUAUGCUGCCUUUGACCACUUGCUACCUUACCUUACCUUCGUGUUUCACCUUGACUCCUGGCUGCUCCGAGAAUGGGGAGGUUGGCCUUUUCCUCUGAGACUGUCCUCAAAAACUGUCUCCUAACUACCAAUGCCCAGAGCUUCCUAUAUCAUAGGCUUUAAGCCUUGUUUAAAUGUCUCAUUUCUUAAGUGAGAGCUUCCAUAAAGAGCGUCUUUGGGACUGCAGUCUCCCCUCAGUCCCCGAACACUACUCCUAGUUUUCUCCAGGACACUCACCACCAUUUAAUGCUUUAGUAUUUCAUUUUAAUUCUCUUUGGUUUUUGUUUGUUUUGAGAGGGUCUCUAUGGAAGAGUAAGCUGGCCUCAAUCAAACUCAUAGAACUCCUCCUGCUUCUGCCUCCUGACUGCUGGGAUGAAAGGCUUAUCACACUAUGCCUGGCUCUCUUGAUUUUCUUAACUCUUCUCUUUUCCCCCAAUAAAGAAUAAACUCUG